rnacentral:rRNA from 1 species
ACGCUGGCGGCGUGCCUAAUACAUGCAAGUAGAACGCUGAAGAGAGGAGCUUGCUCUUCUUGGAUGAGUUGCGAACGGGUGAGUAACGCGUAGGUAACCUGCCUUGUAGCGGGGGAUAACUAUUGGAAACGAUAGCUAAUACCGCAUAACAAUGGGUGACUCAUGUCAUUUAUUUGAAAGGGGCAACUGCUCCACUACAAGAUGGACCUGCGUUGUAUUAGCUAGUAGGUGAGGUAACGGCUCACCUAGGCGACGAUACAUAGCCGACCUGAGAGGGUGAUCGGCCACACUGGGACUGAGACACGGCCCAGACUCCUACGGGAGGCAGCAGUAGGGAAUCUUCGGCAAUGGGGGCAACCCUGACCGAGCAACGCCGCGUGAGUGAAGAAGGUUUUCGGAUCGUAAAGCUCUGUUGUAAGUCAAGAACGAGUGUGAGAGUGGAAAGUUCACACUGUGACGGUAGCUUACCAGAAAGGGACGGCUAACUACGUGCCAGCAGCCGCGGUAAUACGUAGGUCCCGAGCGUUGCCCGGAUUUAUUGGGCGUAAAGCGAGCGCAGGCGGUUUGAUAAGUCUGAAGUUAAAGGCUGUGGCUCAACCAUAGUUCGCUUUGGAAACUGUCAAACUUGAGUGCAGAAGGGGAGAGUGGAAUUCCAUGUGUAGCGGUGAAAUGCGUAGAUAUAUGGAGGAACACCGGUGGCGAAAGCGGCUCUCUGGUCUGUAACUGACGCUGAGGCUCGAAAGCGUGGGGAGCGAACAGGAUUAGAUACCCUGGUAGUCCACGCCGUAAACGAUGAGUGCUAGGGGUUGGAUCCUUUCCGGGAUUCAGUGCCGCAGCUAACGCAUUAAGCACUCCGCCUGGGGAGUACGACCGCAAGGUUGAAACUCAAAGGAAUUGACGGGGGCCCGCA